rnacentral:rRNA from 1 species
GAGUUUGUCCUGGCUCAGGACGAACGCUGGCGGCGUGCCUAACACAUGCAAGUCGAACGGAACCGGGGGCAACUCCGGUUCAGUGGCGGACGGGUGCGUAACACGUGAGGAACAUGACUUUCGGUGGGGGAUAGCCGGCCCAACGGCCGGGUAAUACCGCGUACGACCUUUCGGGGACAUCCCCGGAUGGUGAAAGCAGCAAUGCGCCGAAAGAGUGCCUCGCGGCCUAUCAGCUAGUUGGUGGGGUAAUGGCCCACCAAGGCGACGACGGGUAGCUGGUCUGAGAGGAUGGCCAGCCACAUUGGGACUGAGACACGGCCCAGACUCCUACGGGAGGCAGCAGUGGGGAAUAUUGCGCAAUGGGCGAAAGCCUGACGCAGCGACGCCGCGUGUGGGAUGACGGCCUUCGGGUUGUAAACCACUGUCGGGAGGGAGGAAUGCCCCGCAAGGGGAGUGAC